UCCCUGGUGGUGCAGUGGUUAAGACUCCGUACUCACAAUGCAGGGGGCCCGGGUUCAAUUCCCGGUCAGGGAA